rnacentral:rRNA from 1 species
GGGGCCUGGGCAAUAUGAGGCCUGGCUUUCGCGGCCGGCUGAAGUAUUUUUUUCACCCAUGUCUUUUGCGCACUUGUUGUUUCCUGGGCGGGUUCGCCCGCCACCAGGACCAAACCAUAAACCUUUUUUUCUUAUGCAGUUUCCAUCAGCGUCAGUAAAAACAAUGUAAUUAUUACAACUUUCAACAACGGAUCUCUUGGUUCUGGCAUCGAUGAAGAACGCAGCGAAAUGCGAUACGUAGUGUGAAUUGCAGAAUUCAGUGAAUCAUCGAAUCUUUGAACGCACAUUGCGCCCUUUGGUAUUCCAAAGGGCAUGCCUGUUCGAGCGUCAUUUGUACCUUCAAGCUUUGCUUGGUGUUGGGCGUUUUUUUGUCUCCCUCUUUCUGGGAGACUCGCCUUAAAACGAUUGGCAGCCGGCCUACUGGUUUCGGAGCGCAGCACAUUUUUUGCGCUUUGUAUCAGGAGAAAAGGACGGUACUCCAUCAAGACUCUACAUUUUUCACUUUUGACCUCGGAUCAGGUAGGGAUACCCGCUGAACUUAAGCAUAUCAAUAGCCGGGGAGGAAA